rnacentral:snRNA from 1 species
AUCACUUCUCGGCCUUUUGGCUAAGAUCAAGUGUAGUUUUGUUGAUCUACUCUACUUUUUCUUUUUAGUAACAUAUAAUGUAUUAUUUGUUUCAGGGGUACAGGUCUGUGACUCAUCAGCCUUACACAAUUCAAAAUGCUCACCAUAGCACAUACCCUCCCAAU